rnacentral:rRNA from 1 species
UACGGGGGGGCAAGCGUUGUUCGGAAUUACUGGGCGUAAAGGGCUCGUAGGCGCCAACUAAGUCAGACGUGAAAUCCCUCGGCUUAACCGGGGAACUGCGUCUGAUACUGGUUGGCUUGAAUCCGGGAGAGGGAUGUGGAAUUCCAGGUGUAGCGGUGAAAUGCGUAGAUAUCAGGAAGAACACCCGUGGCGAAGGCGGUUCUCUGGGACGGUACUGACGCUGGAGACGCGAAAGCGUGGGGAGCGAACAGG